AUUAACGCUGGCAGAGUGCAUAACACAUGCAAGUCGAGCGGAACUAUCUGCGAUUACAUCAAGGGUAGUUUAGCGGCAGACGGGUGAGCAACACGUAAGAAAUCUGCCCUCGAGAGGGGAAUAACCCGGCGAAAGCCGGGCUAAUACCCCAUAGUAAAGGACCUCGGCAUCGAGGUACUUUUAAACCCGCAAGGGGCUCGAGGAGGAUCUUGCGACCUAUCAGCUAGUUGGCGGUGUAAUGGACCACCAAGGCUAUGACGGGUAGCCGGCCUGAAAGGGCGACCGGCCACAGAGGCACUGAGACACGGGCCUCACUCCUACGGGAGGCAGCAGUGGGGAAUUUUGGACAAUGGGCGAAAGCCUGAUCCAGUAACUCUGCGUGAAGGACGAAGUCCCUCGGGAUGUAAACUUCUUUUCUAGGGGACGAAUGGUCGCAAGACCUUGACGGUACCCUAGGAAUAAGCCACGGCUAACUACGUGCCAGCAGCCGCGGUAAGACGUAGGUGGCGAGCGUUAUUCGGAAUCACUAGGCGUAAAGCGAGUGUAGGCGGGUGCCUAAGUCCGUAGUGAAAUCUCCCGGCUUAACCGGGAUGGGUCUGCGGAUACUGGGCGUCUUGAGUUGGGCAGGGGGCAUCGGAAUUCCCGGUGUAGCGGUGAAAUGCGCAGAUAUCGGGAAGAACACCGGCGGCGAAGGCGGAUGCCUGGGCCUUAACUGACGCUAAGACUCGAAAGCUAGGGAGCAAACAGGAUUAGAUACCCUGGUAGUCCUAGCUGUAAACGAUGGAUACUAGGUGUGGGAGGUAUCGACCCCUUCCGCGCCGACGCUAACGCAUUAAGUAUCCCGCCUGGGGAGUACGGUCGCAAGACUAAAACUCAAAGGAAUUGACGGGGGCCCGCACAAGCGGCGGAGCAUGUGGUUUAAUUCGACGCUACGCGAAGAACCUUACCUGGGCUCGAACGACUGGUGGUAGUCCGCUAGAAAUAGUGGGCGACCCGCAAGGGAGCCAGCCGAGGUGCUGCAUGGCUGUCGUCAGCUCGUGUCGUGAGAUGUUGGGUUAAGUCCCGCAACGAGCGCAACCCCUGUCCCAUGUUGUCACGCGCAAGCGUGAGCCUCUUGGGAGACUGCCGCGGACAACGCGGAGGAAGGUGGGGACGACGUCAAGUCAUCAUGGCCUUUAUGUCCAGGGCUACACACGUGCUACAAUGGCGUAUACAGCGGGACGCGAAACCGCAAGGUGGAGCAAAUCCCAUAAAGUACGCCCCAGUUCAGAUCGUGGGCUGCAAUUCGCCCACGUGAAGGUGGAGUCGCUAGUAAUCGCAGAUCAGCAGGCUGCGGUGAAUACGUUCCCGGGCCUUGUACACACCGCCCGUCACACCACGAAAGCCAGCUGCAACAGAAGUCCCUACUUGUAGGGCCGAAGCUGUGGCUGGUGAUUGGGGUG
rnacentral:rRNA from 1 species